AUUUGUGCCAUGCAUCUGUUACUAUUCUGAAUGCUACAUAUUCAAUAAACUUGUACAUGAAUAGGAUUACAAUUAUUACAUAGUAUAACAAUAAAUACAUAAAGUAGUAUAAUAUGUACCUGUAUAUAUAUAUAUACCAUUUUUUGAAAAAUAACAAUUUUACCACAUGUUCCCAUCAUCAUGCUUCUAUUAACAAAACAACAAUUGAAUUCGUUUAAUCGUUCUCAUUGUUGUCUGUUUUUAAAAAUAAAGACAAUGCAAUAUAGGCGAGAUACUUAGGAUACAAGGACUGGUAUUCCCAAAGCUCUCAAGAGAACUCUUACAAUAAUAUGUACACACAAGAGCAAAUCGCAAAAUAGUUUUCUUUUUUAUAUAAAAGUAAUUAUAUUAGAAACAUUUAGUUGUUUAAAACA